UCGUGAAGGGAGUGCUUCAACUCUCUUUCUGGUUGUUGUAUCUUAGAUCCCUAAUUCCUUGGUUUUAACCACCAAGAAGAAUUCCUUAUAAGCAAGUUAUUAAAAGCAUUUACAUUAAAUAUUACUGGAUGGGAAAUAUUUCGUUUCCCAUGCUCAUUGUAUCAUAUUCACUAUGAACAUCUCUGUGAUCCAGAAUGUUUGAUAUCAGACAGGCUUUCACAAGAACCCAAGCAGGUGUUAAAGGGCCCCACAGCACCUUGCGCUUGUGCAAACAAAGGGAAUCCAAGGAUGCUGCUGAUGAAUACGAAGUCUAAAAUUUUCAUACAAGAUUGCAAAUGAUUAAGUCAAAGCUCUGUUGACAUCCAGGAAUUGACUGCAGGGCCCCCCAGUGAAACAUACUACCCAAGGACAUGAACUUGAAGGCAAACUGAAGUCUAACCAGCAGACAAGAAAUGAUGGAUCAUAAACUUUCUGGUACCUCCGCUUCCCGUCCCAGCACAAUGUGGGACUUCCUUUAGUGCCCAACAAAUAUUUGUCAAUUGACCGGUUCAUUCAGAAACCAUAGUACAAAGUUGGGAUGGAGGAAGAAUG
ensembl:lncRNA